UGCGUAUCCGUGCCUGCUCCUGCU
rnacentral:miRNA from 1 species